UUCCAGCUCCAAUAGCGUAUAUUAAAGUUGUUGCAGUUAAAAAGCUCGUAGUUGAAUUUCGGGGUUAGUAGGUUGGUCAUGCCUCCGGUAUGUACUGAUCUCACUGAUUCCUCCUUCCUUAUGAACCGUAAUGCCAUUAAUUUGGUGUUGCGGGGAAUUUGGACUGUUACUUUGAAAAAAUUAGAGUGUUUAAAGCAGGCUAACGCUUGAAUACAUUAGCAUGGAAUAAUGAAAUAGGACGUUCGAUCUUAUUUUGUUGGUUUCUAGGAUUGACGUAAUGAUUAAUAGGGAUAGUUGGGGGCAUUAGCAUUCAAUUGUCAGAGGUGAAAUUCUUGGAUUUAUUGAAGACUAACUACUGCGAAAGCAUUUGCCAAGGAUGUUUUCAUUAAUCAAGAACGAAAGUUAGGGGAUCGAAGACGAUCAGAUACCGUCGUAGUCUUAACCAUAAACUAUGCGACUAGGGAUCGG
rnacentral:rRNA from 1 species